rnacentral:rRNA from 1 species
CUUCCAGACUCCUACGGGAGGCAGCAGUGGGGAAUAUUGCACAAUGGGGGAAACCCUGAUGCAGCAACGCCGCGUGAAGGAAGACGGUUUUCGGAUUGUAAACUUCUGUUCUUAGUGAAGAAGAAUGACGGUAGCUAAGGAGCAAGCCACGGCUAACUCCGUGCCAGCAGCCGCGGUAAUACGGAGGAUGCGAGCGUUAUCCGGAUUUAUUGGGUUUAAAGGGUGCGCAGGCGGAUUUUUAAGUCAGCGGUCAAAUCGUGGGGCUCAACCCCAUCCAGCCGUUGAAACUGGGGAUCUAGAGUGUGCGAGAGGUAUGCGGAAUGCGUGGUGUAGCGGUGAAAUGCAUAGAUAUCACGCAAAACCCCGAUUGCGAAGGCAGCAUACCGGUGCACAACUGACGCUCAGGCACGAAAGCGUGGGUAUCGAACAGGAUUAGAUACCCGAGUAA